GAUGAAGAACGUAGCGAAAUGCGAUAAGUAGUGUGAAUUGCAGAAUUCAGUGAAUCAUCGAAUCUUUGAACGCACAUUGCGCCUCCUGGUAUUCCGGGAGGCAUGCCUGUUCGAGCGUCAUCAAAAACUCAACCCAUGAUUUAUUUUGAGUUGGUUCUGCAUUGGACUCCUUGUGGGUCCUUUGCGAAAUCCAAUGGCGAAGAGCCACGCAACCAAAGCGUAGUAUAACUAUUUCGUUAUGGAAGCGUGGGUGCCUCUGCCGUAACCCCCAAUUUCUUAGUUUUUGACCUCGGAUCAGGUAGGGAUACCCGCUGAACUUAAGCAUAUCAAUAAGCGGAGGA
rnacentral:misc_RNA from 1 species